rnacentral:rRNA from 1 species
UAGGGAAUAUUGCGCAAUGGGGGAAACCCUGACGCAGCGACGCCGCGUGAGUGAUGAAGGCCUUAGGGUCGUAAAGCUCUGUUGAAUGGGAAGAAAAAAAUGACGGUACCAUUCGAGAAAGGACCGGCUAACUUCGUGCCAGCAGCCGCGGUAAUACGAGGGGUCCUAGCGUUGUUCGGAAUCAUUGGGCGUAAAGGGUGCGUAGGCUGCCAUUCAAGUCAGUUGUGAAAUCCCCGGGCUCAACCCGGGAAGUGCUUCUGAUACUGUUUGGCUUGAGUACUGGAGAGGGUAGUAGAAUUCCAGGUGUAGUGGUGAAAUACGUAGAUAUCUGGAGGAAUACCGGUGGCGAAGGCGGCUACCUGGCCAUGUACUGACGCUGAAGCACGAAAGCGUGGGGAGCAAACAGG